GCAGCAGGCACGCAAAUUACCCACUCCCGGCACGGAGAGGUAGUGACAAAAAAUAACGAUACGGGACUCUAUUGAGGCCCCGUAAUCGGAAUGAGUACACUUUAAAUCCUUUAACAAGGAUCCAUUGGAGGGCAAGUCUGGUGCCAGCAGCCGCGGUAAUUCCAGCUCCAAUAGCGUAUAUUAAAGUUGUUGCGGUUAAAAAGCUCGUAGUUGGUUCUGCGUGUCGCGCUGUCGGUUCGCCGCCUGUCGGUGUAACUGGCAUGUCGCGGCAUGUCCUGUCGGUGGUGAACGGGAUUGCCUGUGCAGCUAAGGCUUCACAGCCAAAGUUGCCGUGCGAAUGCCGUUUGCCGAUCCUCCUACUCCGGUGCUCUUAAACGAGUGUCGAGGUAGGCCGACACGUUCACUUUGAACAAAUUAGAGUGCUUAAAGCAGGCUGAAAUAUCUGCCUGAAUAGUGGUGCAUGGAAUGAUAAAAUAGGACCUCGGUUCUAUUUUGUUGGUUUUAGGAAUGUGAGGUAAUGAUCAAUGUGGACUGGCGGGGGCAUUCGUAUUGCGACGUUAGAGGUGAAAUUCUUGGAUCGUCGCAAGACGCACUAAAGCGAAAGCAUUUGCCAAGUAUGUCUUAAUUGAUCAAGAACGAAAGUUAGAGGUUCGAAGGCGAUCAGAUACCGCCCUAGUUCUAACCAUAAACGAUGCCAGCCAGCGAUCCGCAGAUGUUCCAUUAAUGACUCUGCGGGGAGCUUCCACCCGGGAAACCAAAGCUUUUGGGCUCCGGGGGAAGUAUGGUUGCAAAGCUGAAACCUUAAAGGAAUGACGGAAGGGCACCACCAGGAGUGGAGCCUGCGGCUUAAUUUGACUCAACACGGGAAACCUCA
rnacentral:rRNA from 1 species